rnacentral:rRNA from 1 species
CCUACGGGAGGCAGCAGUGGGGAAUAUUGGACAAUGGGCGAAAGCCUGAUCCAGCAAUGCCGCGUGAGUGAUGAAGGCCUUAGGGUUGUAAAGCUCUUUUACCAGGGAUGAUAAUGACAGUACCUGGAGAAUAAGCUCCGGCUAACUCCGUGCCAGCAGCCGCGGUAAUACGGAGGGAGCUAGCGUUGUUCGGAAUUACUGGGCGUAAAGCGUACGUAGGCGGUUAUUCAAGUCAGAGGUGAAAGCCUGGAGCUCAACUCCAGAACUGCCUUUGAAACUAGGUAGCUAGAAUCACGGAGAGGUUAGUGGAAUUCCGAGUGUAGAGGUGAAAUUCGUAGAUAUUCGGAAGAACACCAGUGGCGAAGGCGACUAACUGGACGUGUAUUGACGCUGAGGUACGAAAGCGUGGGGAGCAAACAGGAUUAGAUACCCUGGUAGUCCACGCCGUAAACGAUGAUAACUAGCUGUUCGGUCUCUACGAGACUGAGUGGCGCAGCUACGACAUAAGUUAUCCGUCCGUCGGGAGGUACGGUCGGCGAAGAAGUUAAACGUAACGAAAGGUAAAGUUAGUACGGUUCGUUGUAGAGUUGCCGAACGGACGACGACGAGGGAGGAGG